ACUAUUGGGAAAGAUCUUAAUAGCUAUUCGAGAUGCAUGUUUUGAAAUCUCAGCAAUACAGAUGUUCAAUAUGGAUCGGGUUAAUGUUGAAGAAUUCUAUGAAGUUUAUAAAGGCGUUGUGCCUGAGUAUAAUGAUAUGGUGACAGAAAUAUGCUCUGGCUCUUGUGUAGCCAUAGAGAUCCAGCAGAAUAAUCCUACAAAGACAUUUCGAGAGUUCUGUGGACCUGCCGAUC